rnacentral:lncRNA from 1 species
UUUUUUUUUUUUUUAAGAUAGACUAUUCCAUUGCAUAUAUAUGAUUGUUUUUAAUGUAAAUGCAAUGGAAACAUUAGUUCAAUACCUUUAAAAAUAUGCUUUUUACUUAGGAAAAAAAAAGAAGAGACAGAAGAAGUUGCCUACCAAAACAAAUUGCAAGGAAAGAUAAAUUAUUCAACAAACAUUUGCUAAUUGUCUACUAUUAUCCAACUGAGAUUGGGGCAGGGGGUUAUAGGAGUGAGUAACACUCAGUUACCAUUUUCAGAUACUUCAUUCUGGUGGAUGACACAUGUCAAACCCACAGACAGAAUCAUAGGUCAUUGUCCCUAGAAACUUAAACAGGCAACGUGCCUCUACCAAGGCAGCAAAUGACAGUCAAGUUUGGCUAUCAAAGAUCCACUGACCAAGGCAUAGGAUCUCAGCCUCACAGCAGUUAUAGUGGGACAGGGUCAAGGUAGCCUACAGCACUUUUACAUAGCCUAAAGUGAAAUUAGGGGAUAAAUUGGUUGGGGAAUGCCCCAUUCUUGAGGGGUUCCCCUGGUAAGCAUAAAGGGGAAUCCCCUUAAAUAUGGUAGAAGCCCCAAUAGCAAAUGUAGGGGCUAAGGGGAGAACAGAUCCCUGCUUGCUAGCAGGAGACUGGAAGGGGUGGGGGAAUUCUUAAAAACUCCAUUUACAGAACAGGAGAUCCCCUUCUGUUACUCAAAGUUCCCUUGUAGGGCUGUUUUGAGACAUUUGUGUGUUCUCUGCUCUUCUACUUUGCUUCUGAUUCCAUCUUCCUUAAGGUUUAGAGAAAGACAACUGAAUACAUAUCUACACAGAAAAAAUGAUAAAAAUAUAAACAUACCCCCCCCCCACAGUCAGCGCUAUUUGGCUGUGAGAAGUUCAGUAGUCCUAGAACUUAAGUCAUUUAUUUGUACCGUUUGAAUCUAGUGUUCAUUCAUAGUUCGUCCAAGUUUAAAUUAUAAUUCCAGACAGAAAACAAAGGUGGAUUUUACAAAAUAGAAGGUAAGAUGUAUGCCUGAGAAAAAUACAGUCCGGACACAAUUCACACCAUUAGAGAGGGAUUCAAACACUUCUGGAGACUCUGGUGCUACCAGAAAGCGAAAAUAAUAAUACUAGCAUAAACUUACAUAGUGCCUAUUGCGUACCAGACAUAUAAAUGAAAAGAAGCAAAGCUAUGAAUUUAAUAGUUUGGGAGUGAAAACAAUUUGUAAAGUUGAAAUAAAAAUUCUUAAGUCCACUUUCACUUACCAUUACCUUAAUCCUAGGUAAACAAUUAACUUCAAUAAUUCUUUUCAUGGGGGAGGCAGCAGUGGUUAAAAUACAAUAAAUAAUGCAUUUAUUUGCAAAGUGCCUGGAAUUGAAAAAAUGCAUUAAGGACAAAGUACAGUUAUUAUUACAACAUUCUUCCAUAUAUCCAUGGAAGGGACAUAUUAUAUGCCUCCAAGUGAGCAGAAUCCUCUCUUCUCCAAGGUACAAAUUAAGUCAGUGUCACAAUUCUACUCCCUCAGACUUUCCAACAACUAAAAGAAAUAAAAAUAAAAAAUAAAAAUAAAUAAAAUAUAAUAAAUAAAAAUUUAAAAUCCAAAAUAAAAAGGAAAAAAAAACCCCCACAAAAAACAAUAAACCACAAACAGUACCAAUCUGAGGAUCUCUAUCAGAAUUUCAAGCUGUUGAUCACUGGUAGGCAGGUGACUAUGAUUACUACUGGAAAAAUAACUCAAAGCCAAAAUCUUUUUGUGGCAGGUUAAUAGUAUUGUGCUUUGCAUUAAAAUCACAUCUCAUCUUAAGAUAGAUUUGUUUGAUGUAUAAUAUUGUUCACUUAUACAGACACUAAGAUCAUAGUGAAUUAACAGGAAGUUGAUUGAAUAAAUCAAUACGAUCAACAGUAUGAGUCUCAAUAUGAAUGCAUAUGUUUACCCAUUGAAAAACGUUAAUACUACUGGUAUUUUAUAAUGUGACUGAGGAAAUCUGUUAUUUAAAGUUAAUCUUGAGACACAUACCAUAUUCCAUACUCCACAUUAUAUAUUCAGAUCUUCAAAUGUCUUUAUUUUAAAAAUAGAAAUUUCAAGGAAACAGAAUCAUAAAACUAGAGGGCCUAAAAAUUGUUUAACACAGGCUCUUUAUUAAACAUAUACUUUCCUAUCAAUACUUAAUGAAGAGGAUUAAAGCCUCUAAUAAACAAUUUGUAAGUCUAAGAGUCUGUGCAUAUUUUCAAGUUUUUCUAUGCACAUCCUAACAUAUACUAAGGUAAAAAGUGUACCCUGCCAUAUAAAUGUCCUUUCUUCCUUUUUCUUUUCUUUCCCUUCCUUCCUUUUUCAAGAGUAAUCCUGAACGUGUGUCCUAUUAGUUUGCGAUUGAACUCUCAGCGUCACUAUAUUCCUUCAAAAAGUCAAAGAGCCUCGCCAUAGUUGGAGAACGUCUUUUUUUUUUUUUUUUUGAGCCUGAAAUAGGCUUGAAUAGAAGUAACUGAAGAUUCAGUUUCACGUGUUAAAAACAGUAGAACGAGUCCAGACCCUUUAGAAUUUUCGAAAUUGAGCAUACUAAAAUGUCAAGAAUAUAGAAGGGCUCUAGGUUGGAAAACCUAAUUUUUUUGGGGGGGGGGGGGCGGGGAGAAGACUCGACCGAGGUUUUGAGUUUUCAUUCCUAGCUCCAGCUGUUCCUCGAACCAUUCUAAAUGCCGGAUGCAACGUAAACAAUUCGAAAAAAUAAAAAAAAUAAAAAAAAAUAAAAAA